rnacentral:rRNA from 1 species
GGGAGGAAAAGAAACCAACCGGGAUUGCCUUAGUAACGGCGAGUGAAGCGGCAAAAGCUCAAAUUUGAAAUCUGGUACCUUCGGUGCCCGAGUUGUAAUUUGGAGAGGGCAACUUUGGGGCCGUUCCUUGUCUAUGUUCCUUGGAACAGGACGUCAUAGAGGGUGAGAAUCCCGUGUGGCGAGGAGUGCGGUUCUUUGUAAAGUGCCUUCGAAGAGUCGAGUUGUUUGGGAAUGCAGCUCUAAGUGGGUGGUAAAUUCCAUCUAAAGCUAAAUAUUGGCGAGAGACCGAUAGCGAACAAGUACAGUGAUGGAAAGAUGAAAAGAACUUUGAAAAGAGAGUGAAAAAGUACGUGAAAUUGUUGAAAGGGAAGGGCAUUUGAUCAGACAUGGUGUUUUGUGCCCUCUGCUCCUUGUGGGUAGGGGAAUCUCGCAUUUCACUGGGCCAGCAUCAGUUUUGGUGGCAGGAUAAAUCCAUAGGAAUGUAGCUUGCCUCGGUAAGUAUUAUAGCCUGUGGGAAUACUGCCAGCUGGGACUGAGGACUGCGACGUAAGUCAAGGAUGCUGGCAUAAUGGUUAUAUGCCGCCCGUCU